ACAGACUCCACAUAGGCCAGCAGGAACCAGAGCAAAGCACCCGGAGCCUCAGCUGUUAAAAUGACUGGUACUGGGAGCUGGAGGUCUCACUGGCCGUGACUGGGUCGAACCCAGGGUGCAUCUGAUGAGUGCAGGCAUGGUAGACUCAGGUGACCCAGAAUCUUUUGGUUCAGGGAGGUCACAUAGCCCAGUAAGAGCCAAUGAGAUGCAGCAAAACUGCUGGAGAUGGAAGGACAAAGACACUGAAUCUUUCACUCUGGAAUUGAGCCUGAGAUGUGAAGGCUGGAGCUGCUGCAACCAUUCCUGAAGCAAGAGCUCUGCAUGGACUCUGCCUCCCUCUUUGUGAGGUGGGUUUUGAGGGAGAGGAAUAAAAUAUGAAUGUGUCUUCAUCAACAUUUUCACCUGGACAUCGUCUUCUAUCCAUUACCUCUUUCAAUCCCAGCACCAACCCAGGAAAGUGGGCAAGGCUGUGUCCCCUGGGAGCAGAACAGAGAAUUGGAGGACCAGCACUCGAGAGCUGAACAAGCCUGCAUGGCCAUCCAUCAUAGUUACUAAAGAGAUUAGACUAACUCUCUGUAGCUCCAGAGGGCAAAAGAAGAACCACUUGGUAGAAUCCACCAGAGGCAGUUUUGAAUUCGAAGAGAAGAAGCACUUUCUAAUGGUCACACAGCUGGCCAGCCCUGAGUGAGCUGUCCCAGGAAGCUCAGGGAAACUAUCUUUCAAAACAGAAGGAAAAAUUAAGAUGUUCCAGAUAAGCAAAAACGGAGAGAAUCUGUCACUAGCAGAGACGCUCUAUCUACAAGGAGUACCAAAGAGAGUGCAUCAGGCUAAAAUGAAAGGACUUUGAAAGGACGGUAACUGGAAUCCACAGGAAGAAAACAAGAGCACCAGUAAAGAUAUCUCUAAAAGAUAUCCUCAAUGCCAUUUCACAGGUGAGGAAAUGUGGGCACAGAGAGGUAAGUCCUGAGUCACCCCAAGCUCUCCUUGCCCCAGAAGUCCCUCCUCUGGAGUUGUGUUAAGUUUCAAGGGCAGAUGCAGGAGUCAGGCCAGGGCCAGAUUUUAGCUCUGAGCCCUCAAGGGCUCCUGGAGCCAUCUGGAGCCUCUGGAACCGUCUGAGCCCAACUCUCUUCUGAACUGAGGCCCAUGCACCUGCUCUGAUGGAGCCAGGCCCUGACUGCAAGUUUCCUCUGCCAAAGUGCAACCUCAGGGGAUGUGGAUCAGAUGCCAUUUGAGAAGAACAUGCUGAGAACAACUGAGAGAUGGCAGCAUUUUUCAGCUCGGGGAGAGAGCAGGGUGGGUGGAUGAGUCUGCCUAGGGCUGGAAACUCUGUCUUCUGCCAUGGGACUGCAUGUGGCCUUGGGCAGCCUCCUUCUCUGCUCCAGUCUUGGAUUCCUCAUCUGUCAACUGGGGUGAUGCCAUCUGUUCAAAGUGUUGUUAAGAACAUGGUGGAAGAGGAUCAUGGGAUAAGGCUAUAUCCCCAAGCUCAUUUACAGCAACAAUGAGCAGUUAUUAAGCACCAAAAAAAAAAAAAAA
rnacentral:lncRNA from 1 species